rnacentral:rRNA from 1 species
GACGAACGCUGGCGGCGUGCUUAACACAUGCAAGUCGAACGGAGCUAUUUAUUUCGGUAGAUAGCUUAGUGGCAAACGGGUGAGUAACGCGUAGGCAACCUGCCCUCAGGAUGGGGACAACGGCUCGAAAGAGCCGCUAAUACCGAAUGACGUAACUCUUCCACAUGGAAGAGAUACUAAAGAUGGGUCAAACCAUCGCCUAAGGAUGGGCCUGCGUCUGAUUAGCCAGUUGGUGAGGUAACGGCUCACCAAAGCGACGAUCAGUAGCCGGUCUGAGAGGAUGAACGGCCACAAUGGGACUGAGACACGGCCCAUACUCCUACGGGAGGCAGCAGUGGGGAAUCUUCCGCAAUGGGCGAAAGCCUGACGGAGCAACGCCGCGUGAGUGAAGAAGGUCUUCGGAUCGUAAAGCUCUGUUGUCGGGGACG